UACGGAGGGGGCUAGCGUUGUUCGGAAUUACUGGGCGUAAAGCGCACGUAGGCGGCUUUGUAAGUCAGGGGUGAAAGCCUGGAGCUCAACUCCAGAACUGCCUUUGAGACUGCAUCGCUUGAAUCCGGGAGAGGUGAGUGGAAUUCCGAGUGUAGAGGUGAAAUUCGUAGAUAUUCGGAAGAACACCAGUGGCGAAGGCGGCUCACUGGCCCGAUACUGACGCUGAGGCACGAAAGCGUGGGGAGCAAACAGG
rnacentral:rRNA from 1 species